CAGGCCUAACACAUGCAAGUCGAACGCCCCGCAAGGGGAGUGGCAGACGGGUGAGUAACACGUGGGAACGUACCCUUUGGUUCGGAACAACCCUCGGUAAACUAGGGCUAAUACCGGAUACGCGCGAGACGCGGAAAGGUUUACCGCCGAAGGAUCGGCCCGCGUCUGAUUAGCUAGUUGGUGAGGUAACGGCUCACCAAUGCGACGAUCAGUAGCUGGUCUGAUAGGAUGAUCAGCCACACUGGGACUGAGACACGGCCCAGACUCCUACGGGAGGCAGCAGUGGGGAAUCUUGCGCAAUGGGCGAUAGCCUGACGCAGCGACGCCGCGUGAGUGAUGAAGGCCUUCGGGUUGUAGAGCUCUGUGGGGAGGGACGAAUAAGUGCUGGCUAAUAUCCACCGCGAUGACGGUACCUCUUUAUCAAGCACCGGCUAGCUCUGUGCCAGCAGCCGCGGUAAU
rnacentral:rRNA from 1 species